CCGAAAUAUAAAAUAUCAUGGGUAAAGUUUGUUACUAUCAAUUUUUAAAAAUGUGAGAUGUUCACGAAUUUGAGUUUUGUUUAGAAGCCAUAUAUUUUGUUCUUUGCCUUAUCAUUUAUUUCUUGCUCUAAAUGUCACAUGCAUGGUGAGAUCUUAGCAUCUCAUUACUUCAUGGAUGCUAUAAUACCCAGGCAUGUGUUCAUAUGAAGAGUAUGCUGCUUAAAGAGAUGGUAGAAGAACGCUCAAGAAUUUUACUGGUAUUCAACAAAGCACCAACAUGUGUGUUUGACAUCCAGGAUGCACUUCGUGGAAUGGAAAUCACAUUCACGUUUAAACAUUCUUACUCAUUUUUAUUUGAAGAGUUUGGACAAAUAAUCAACAUAUUUGUUUUCCUUUUCAUUUCCUGGCAUUUGGGAUGGCAGCCUUCAUGGGCCCAAUGGAUAAUAGUCAACUCAGCUCUGAGAACAAGAGUGUCCAUAUAUCAUCCCAGGAUACUAAUGUUCACCCCACCUCACUCUUUCUCAAAGCUGAUCUAUUCUUUCCUAUCAGCUACCCCUCUAAGGUUGUUGCAUUUCUGGGUUGUUCCUUUGUUACCUGGUUUAUUUGUUCAAGUAGUUUUGGAUAGAAAACAUGCUGCCUAUUCAAAUCUGCAAAUUAAAAAAAAAAAAUACUGCUGGGUCACCCUGGGGUAGCCAUUGGAAAAUUCACUACUCUGGAACUUUAUCAAUGCCAAACUCGAGUGCAUUUAAGGUGGAUCACGUACACAGUGACAUUUUGGGACUUAAGAUACUAUCAGUCCUAUUCACACUUACGCUGCCUCUGCUGAGGAUUUUGCUGGGGACUACUUCGGGGGCUCUAGGACAGAGUCUGGCUGCCAGCUGGUGUUGAAAUGGAGUUUUCCCUGUGGAGUAAUCAAUUAUCGUUUCCCAAGACGAGCUCGUGGAAUGCUGCCAGCACAGUGGGUUGAAGAAUCCUGGAGCUGGAACUCUUUCCCAGAUGUAGAGGUCGUCCCACGUGCAUGUGGUGGUGAUAAACCAGAGAGGCAGAGAGAAGAAACAGUGACUAUUGAAAGCAGGUCUGAUGUGAAGAAAAGUUGUAAAACAGAGGCCAAGCAUUUCACUAAACCUGCUGGCAGACAGGAGUCAGAGCACAGUCUGUUAUUAGAACAGUGUUUCCUAUUGCUUGGACUGUCUCAGAAGGGACUGGGGUCCAUUCAAGAAGCACAGCCCAAGGCUAUUCCCAAGCUUUCCCAUCAUCAAGGUACAUGGUUCUCCCUCAUGACAUCCCAAGUGUACUCCUAGGACAGCUGAAAGCUUGCUGAAAGGUCAAACUGAACUUGCCUCCAUUUUUGUCUUCCUAGAUGAAAAGGAGAUAAAUAACAGAUGAAUAGAUCCAGUCAAGAUUUACUGAGAAGGGGA